CAAAAACAUGUCUUUUUGAAAAUAAUUUAAAGUCUAAUCUGCCCACUGAUAAUUUAUUAAAGGGCUGCAGUAUUUUGACUGUACAAAGGUAGCAUAAUCAAUAGUCUCUUAAUUAGUGACUUGUAUGAAAGAUUGGAUGAAAUAUAUUCUGUCUCUAAUUAAUUUAUAGAAAUUAAUUUUUUAGUAAAAAAGCUAAAAUAAUUUUAAAAGACGAGAAGACCCUAUAGAGUUUAAUAAUUUAUUUAAUUAUUAUUAAUAUAUAAUUUUUAAAAUUAAAAUUAAAUAAAUUAUUUUGUUGGGGUGAUAGAAAAAUUAAAUUAACUUUUUUUAUUUAUUAACAUUAAUUUAUGAUUAGAUGAUCCAUUAAUAAUGAUUAAAAGAAAAAAUUACCUUAGGGAUAACAGCGUAAUUUUUUUUUUUAGUUCAAAUAGGAAAAAAAGUUUGCGACCUCGAUGUUGGAUUAAGAUAAAAUUUAAAUGCAAAAGUUUAAAAUUUUGAUCUGUUCGAUCAUUAAAAUCUUACAUGAUCUGAGC
rnacentral:rRNA from 1 species